UAGGGAAUCUUCGGCAAUGGGGGGAACCCUGACCGAGCAACGCCGCGCGAGUGAAGAAGGUUCUCGGAUCGUAAAGCUCUGUUGUUAAGGAAGAACGAGCGUGAGAAUGGAAAGUUCAUGCUGUGACGGUACUUAACCAGAAAGGGACGGCUAACUACGUGCCAGCAGCCGCGGUAAUACGUAGGUCCCGAGCGUUGUCCGGAUUUAUUGGGCGUAAAGCGAGCGCAGGCGGUUAGAUAAGUCUGAAGUUAAAGGCAGUGGCUCAACCAUUGUAGGCUUUGGAAACUGUUUAACUUGAGUGCAGAAGGGGAGAGUGGAAUUCCAUGUGUAGCGGUGAAAUGCGUAGAUAUAUGGGGGAACACCGGUGGCGAAAGCGGCUCUCUGGUCUGUAACUGACGCUGAGGCUCGAAAGCGUGGGUAGCAAACAGG
rnacentral:rRNA from 1 species